UUAGCUUCUCUUCAAAAGAUCCUUUAACAGUUACUGAGUAGUUAUAACUCGGCUUCGAUCCAAACUCUAGAGAUGGAACAUUUGAAGCAAAGCUUCGAGGAGUUUACAGAGUAAAAAGGUUCAAUGCUUGUAAAUGCAGUAAACCACGUGACCGAUGACAAACGAUGCCUCUUCUUCUUCUUCUUAUAAUGGCGGUUGGCAAACAACUGAAGGAGGCAUUACCGCCACCAACUGGAAGUUUCCAAGGUGGUAUUGUAGGUAACGGAACUGAAACAACUGAAGGAGGCCUUACCGCCACCAACUGGGUUUGGUCUACUUUCAACAUAAGAUCUGGAACAAGGAAAGUGGCAGAAAUGGCGAGAUCUUUUCUGGAGGAGCCUUGAGAUGUUGGAGCCCAAAUACUCCCCAGAAAUCUCCAUCAGGAGAGUUUGAUCACACUGAGAUUAGAUGUCAGUAAUUUAUCUCAAUAAUAUUCUCAAUUCUUGUCUUGUUUGUAUAAUAUACAGGUCCUUCUCAAAAUAUUAGCAUAUUGUGAUAAAGUUCAUUAUUUUCUAUAAUGUAAUGAUGAAAAUUGAACAUUCAUAUAUUUUAGAUUCAUUGCACACUAACUGAAAUAUUU